UUCGACACACUAUCAUUAACUGAAUCCAUAGGUUAAUGAGGCGAACCGGGGGAACUGAAACAUCUAAGUACCCCGAGGAAAAGAAAUCAACCGAGAUUCCCCCAGUAGCGGCGAGCGAACGGGGAGGAGCCCAGAGCCUGAAUCAGUGUGUGUGUUAGUGGAAGCGUCUGGAAAGGCGCGCGAUACAGGGUGACAGCCCCGUACACAAAAAUGCACAUAUUGUGAGCUCGAUGAGUAGGGCGGGACACGUGGUAUCCUGUCUGAAUAUGGGGGGACCAUCCUCCAAGGCUAAAUACUCCUGACUGACCGAUAGUGAACCAGUACCGUGAGGGAAAGGCGAAAAGAACCCCGGCGAGGGGAGUGAAAAAGAACCUGAAACCGUGUACGUACAAGCAGUGGGAGCCUCUUAAUGGGGUGACUGCGUACCUUUUGUAUAAUGGGUCAGCGACUUAUAUUCUGUAGCAAGGUUAACCGAAUAGGGGAGCCGAAGGGAAACCGAGUCUUAACUGGGCGUUAAGUUGCAGGGUAUAGACCCGAAACCCGGUGAUCUAGCCAUGGGCAGGUUGAAGGUUGGGUAACACUAACUGGAGGACCGAACCGACUAAUGUUGAAAAAUUAGCGGAUGACUUGUGGCUGGGGGUGAAAGGCCAAUCAAACCGGGAGAUAGCUGGUUCUCCCCGAAAGCUAUUUAGGUAGCGCCUCGUGAAUUCAUCUCCGGGGGUAGAGCACUGUUUCGGCAAGGGGGUCAUCCCGACUUACCAACCCGAUGCAAACUGCGAAUACCGGAGAAUGUUAUCACGGGAGACACACGGCGGGUGCUAACGUCCGUCGUGAAGAGGGAAACAACCCAGACCGCCAGCUAAG
rnacentral:rRNA from 1 species